CACAAACAGUGUUAGUCAGGAGAAGGACUGCAGGAGGCUGAGGUGGUGCUGCUGAAAUGAUCUUACCAUGGUACCAGGAGCUGAUUACCUGCCUGCAGAGCACAGCACCUUGGGUGCACUUUCUCAGCUAGAGGUGAAGUCUCUCUGCCACGAGCUGUGCUGCGUGCGUACUGUGAGCUUGUCAGGCUUUAAUUCAGAAGCUACCAAAGAAUUCCUAUGGAAAUACGUAUGACAUCCAUGUUACAGUCAUAAUUAAUUAACCAAUCAAUUAUCAUGAUGGAUGCCUUUUUAAUGAAUCGGUUGCAAAUAAUUUUCAGUUCCUAUGGUUUUCAUUGGAAGCGUAUGAAUCAUGGCAGAUUCUUUGGGUUGCUGAGGAAUGUUGGAUGCUAAUCCGAGACCCGAGCAUCUUUACCCGAGGUGAGCCAGGUCCUGAGCAAUCAGAUCCAGAUGCAAGGAUGGAGAGCUAUCCUGGAGGUCAGAGGCUCUUCAGAUUUGGAAACAGUGCCAGCACAAGGUAACAGUUGGCCCAGAGAAUGGAAGGAACAGAUCUGAAAUGGCCCAGGAUGGGAUUUGGAGAGCUCCAAAUGCAGAUUUCACUGCUGAUCCUGUAUGUACUGGAAAAAAAAAAGAAAGCUGCAAACCCCAAUUUUCACUUUGACUGGGCAGCGUGGCUCUCCUUCAAUGACUGCAGACGGGACACCAGCUGUGAGCAAGGACAGGCAGGAAGGAAGCAAACUCUGGUGUCGGAUGGGGACACAGCCAGAGCCUCGGCCUUCUGCUGCCAUGCUGUGGAUUGAGCGUUUCAUUCACACAAAUGCACAUUUCCUGGCAGUGCUGGGGCUGGCCUGGAAUCCAGACCUGGUCUGCUCAAGGUAGAGCCAUUACCCUAAAGUGCUUUUAUUGAUCUGUUGACUUUCUGUCUCCCUCCUUCUCUUUCUCUCUUCACCCUGCCAGACUCCUAAAGACUCAUAUCUUGUCUCAUACAACCAAGAUAUUUUAAGGAGUAAACAAUGAUUUUGAAGUCAGAUUAGACAAACUGUACUUGACUAGUGUGAAACCAAAUAUCCUUUGAAUGAUGUCUGAAGUAGGACCUGGAUCCUUUUACAAGCAAUCCUUCUUCCCCUCCCCCCCCCCCCCCCUUAGCUCUUUCCCCUCUCUGCAUGUUCUGGUGAUCUUGAAAAAUUUGGAAAAAAAUCAGAGAUUAAUUUCAGGGUCAAGUACACAUAUUCUUUGUGGCAUCCCAUUCCCUGCUGUAGCAGUGCCAUAUUGUUGUACUUUACUUUUUGUUGGUUAAAGAAAGCUACAGUAAUAAAUCUAUAUACAUGCUUUGAAAUCUAGUGGUA
rnacentral:lncRNA from 1 species